AUUGAACGCUGGCGGCAUGCCUUACACAUGCAAGUCGAACGGCAGCGCGGACUUCGGUCUGGCGGCGAGUGGCGAACGGGUGAGUAAUACAUCGGAACGUACCCUGUUGUGGGGGAUAACUAGUCGAAAGAUUAGCUAAUACCGCAUACGACCUGAGGGUGAAAGUGGGGGACCGCAAGGCCUCACGCAGCAGGAGCGGCCGAUGUCUGAUUAGCUAGUUGGUGGGGUAAAGGCCCACCAAGGCGACGAUCAGUAGCUGGUCUGAGAGGACGAUCAGCCACACUAGGACUGGGACACGGCCCAGACUCCUACGGGAGGCAGCAGUGGGGAAUUUUGGACAAUGGGGGCAACCCUGAUCCAGCAAUGCCGCGUGUGUGAAGAAGGCCUUCGGGUUGAAAAGCACUUUUGUCCGGAAAGAAAUCGCGCUGGUUAAUACCUGGCGUGGAUGACGGUACCGGAAGAAUAAGCACCGGCUAACUACGUG
rnacentral:rRNA from 1 species